rnacentral:rRNA from 1 species
UACGUAGGGUGCGAGCGUUGUCCGGAAUUAUUGGGCGUAAAGAGCUUGUAGGUGGUUUGUCGCGUCUGCUGUGAAAAUCCGAGGCUCAACCUCGGACUUGCAGUGGGUACGGGCAGACUAGAGUGUGGUAGGGGAGACUGGAAUUCCUGGUGUAGCGGUGGAAUGCGCAGAUAUCAGGAGGAACACCGAUGGCGAAGGCAGGUCUCUGGGCCAUUAACUGACACUGAGAAGCGGAAAGCAUG